GACGAACGCUGGCGGCGUGCCUAAUACAUGCAAGUCGAGCGCAGGAAACUGACGGAACUCUUCGGAGGGAAGGCAGUGGAAUGAGCGGCGGACGGGUGAGUAACACGUAAGGAACCUGCCUCAAGGAUUGGGAUAACUCCGAGAAAUCGGAGCUAAUACCGGAUAGUUCAUCGGACCGCAUGGUCCGUUGAUGAAAGGCGCUUCGGCGUCACCUUGAGAUGGCCUUGCGGUGCAUUAGCUAGUUGGUGGGGUAACGGCCCACCAAGGCGACGGUGCAGAGCCGACCUGAGAGGGUGAUCGGCCACACUGGGACUGAGACACGGCCCAGACUCCUACGGGAGGCAGCAGUAGGGAAUCUUCCACAAUGGACGAAAGUCUGAUGGAGCAACGCCGCGUGAGUGAUGAAGGUUUUCGGAUCGUAAAACUCUGUUGUAAGGGAAGAACACGUACGAGAGGAAAUGCUCGUACCUUGACGGUACCUUACGAGAAAGCCACGGCUAACUACGUGCCAGCCGCCGCCGUAAAAC
rnacentral:rRNA from 1 species